GACGAACGCUGGCGGCGCGCCUAACACAUGCAAGUCGAACGGAGCUUAGAGAGCUUGCUUUUUAAGCUUAGUGGCGAACGGGUGAGUAACGCGUGAGUAACCUGCCCUGGAGUGGGGGACAACAGUUGGAAACGACUGCUAAUACCGCAUAAGCCCACGGUACCGCAUGGCACUGAGGGAAAAGGAUUUAUUCGCUUUAGGAUGGACUCGCGUCCAAUUAGCUAGUUGGUGAGGUAACGGCCCACCAAGGCGACGAUUGGUAGCCGGACUGAGAGGUUGAACGGCCACAUUGGGACUGAGACACGGCCCAGACUCCUACGGGAGGCAGCAGUGGGGGAUAUUGCACAAUGGGGGAAACCCUGGAUGCAGCGACGCCGCGUGGAGGAAGAAGGUUUUCGGAUUGUAAACUCCUGUCGUUAGGGACGAUAAUGACGGUACCUAACAAGAAAGCACCGGCUAACUACGUG
rnacentral:rRNA from 1 species